rnacentral:rRNA from 1 species
AGUGAACGCUGGCGGUAGGCCUAACACAUGCAAGUCGAACGGCAGCACAGUAAGAGCUUGCUCUUACGGGUGGCGAGUGGCGGACGGGUGAGGAAUACAUCGGAAUCUACUUUUUCGUGGGGGAUAACGUAGGGAAACUUACGCUAAUAACGCAUACGACCUACGGGUGAAAGCAGGGGAUCUUCGGACCUUGCGCGAUUGAAUGAGCCGAUGUCGGAUUAGCUAGUUGGCGGGGUAAAGGCCCACCAAGGCGACGAUCCGUAGCUGGUCUGAGAGGAUGAUCACCCACACUGGAACUGGGACACGGUCCAGACUCCUACGGGAGGCAGCAGUGGGGAAUAUUGGACAAUGGGCGCAAGCCUGAUCCAGCCAUACCGCGUGGGUGAAGAAGGCCUUCGGGUUGUAAAGCCCUUUUGUUGGGAAAGAAAAGCAGCAGGUUAAUACCCCGCUGUUCUGACGGUACCCAAAGAAGAAGCACCGGCUAACUUCGUG